CUGGUUUUUUCACUAACCCAACUGUGAGAUUUCUUUGUUGCAAUGUUGGGGUCUGAGAUAACACUGCUGGAGGCUGGAGGCGAGAAACAUAGCCGAGACCAUCUUUUAUUGUGUGUUGUUAUUUAUUAGCGCUGUGAAGCGAGGAAGCGAAAUAACAAAGAGCCCAAAGACCCGAAGACUGCACAGCUCCGGCUUGUAGGCCCUGGAGACAGUCUGGAGUCCUCAGACGAACAGAAAGAAGACAUCAGAAGGGCAACCAGGGGUGCCUGUGGCUGCUGAGUACAGGAGCAGGGCUGUGCGAGUAAGCAGAAUGGAAAGAAAGCAUCGUGCCUUGUAGUCAAACAAAGUGAGGCUUUAUGGCAUCCAUGCUCUCGUCUCUAUUCGCCCAGAGACAGGCACAACGGCACAGAUACCAUGCAACGGAGAGUAACAGCUUACGACAUCUGCUAGCAAAGUAGGCCACAAGGAGGCAGAUCUCAGGAGGAAGGAAGCCUGGGACGAUAAAACGAGACAAUGGCUGUGUUCACAGAGUUUUCCUUAAUCUUACGUCUCCAUGAAAGGAGGUAACAGAUAAAAAGAGAACAUUGAGAAUAAGAAACAUCUACACCGAGCCUUCCCUGAGGAUGAUAAAUUCGAUUUUCCCUUCUAC
ensembl:lncRNA